UAAUGAGUAUAAGCAUAACCCAACUUUAAAGGAAAGUUUUUCUGCAUGUUUUUCUAACCAAGUAAUUAUGCACUAAACAAGUGGAUUGACAAAGAAUACCAACAAAUUUAUUGUCCCAAAAAAAAACUAUAAUCAUGCACUGAAAAACAACCUUUUGUCAACAAAAAAAAUGGCACAAAUUUCCAUUGAUAAAGUGUAAGAUAACAGAUAGUCAGUAUCUAACUUGUUUUGUAUUUUUUUUAAAGGUAACUUAAUUACUUUUUUGUAGCAAAAUGUUUUAUAAUUAGAUUUAUUUUCAUGUUGUGAAGAAUACAACUUUCUACAUCAGAUGAGAUAUAUGUUAAAGAAAGCAUUGAAAAUAAGAAUAACAAAUCAUACCGCUCUUCAUUGCCAGAACCUCCGUCACCUAUUAUGAAUAAGCCCAAUGCUAAAAAGUUGUUAUCAGAUUCAAAGAUUGAAGAGAUAAUUUUUCUUCACAUUUUAUUGAUGAACACCAAGCAAAGUUUACAUUGUCAAAGAGUUUUAAGUUUUAAUAGAUGCAAAAUGUUAUUCUCAAGGAGCUUGCAGAAAAAAUUUCUAUAACUUCUUUUAAAAGAAGUUAUAGAAAUUAAGUUUCAGGCUACUGGGGUGAAGUUGCUAGAAUCGGUGGACAAAGUGGUUACACUGGAUAAUAAACUAAAAGAUAAAACCGAGUAUACUAAUUUGCUUGAUAGUUUAAAAAAGAUUGGUGGUGGAAAGCCAAGAAAACAUGUUUUGAUCAUGAAAAGGUUAUUUUCGAAUCAGUUACAGUCCAAAUUAAAUCGAAAAGGAAAUGGGGAAAAGAUAAGCUUAGAAAAUCUAGUAAAUAUAUGGAGUGUUUUACGAGAUAUUGGCGACGUGGAAGAAAAUGUUGACGGCAAUGCAGAAAUAUAGUUUCUUAUGUAUAUUUUUGUGAAAUAAAAAUUAAGUAAUGUUAGUUAAAA